rnacentral:rRNA from 1 species
UGAGUACGAGCUGCUACGGCAGCGAAGUGGAUGAUGUCAAGCUUCCAAGAAAAGCCCUAUACCCGUUAAGGCAUGACGGCCUGUACCCGAAACCGACACAGGUGGGGUGGUAGAGAAUACCGAGGGGCGCGAGAUAACUCUCUCCAAGGAACUCGGCAAAAUGGCCCCGUAACUUCGGGAGAAGGGGUGCCACCGCGAGGUGGUCGCAGUGAAGAGGCCCAGGCGACUGUUUACCAAAAACACAGGUCUCCGCCAAGUCGCAAGACGAUGUAUGGGGGCUGACGCCUGCCCAGUGCCGGAAGGUUAAGGAAGCCGGUCAGCGUAAGCGAAGCUGGCGACUGAAGCCCCGGUGAACGGCGGCCGUAACUAUAACGGUCCUAAGGUAGCGAAAUUCCUUGUCGGGUAAGUUCCGACCCGCACGAAAGGCGUAACGAUCUGGGCGCUGUCUCGGAGAGAGGCUCGGCGAAAUAGAAUUGUCUGUGAAGAUGCGGACUACGUGCACCCGGACAGAAAGACCCUAUGAAGCUUUACUGUAGCUUGGUAUUGUGCUCGGGCUCUGAAUGCGCAGGAUAGGUGGGAGGCUUUGAUCCAUUGCUUGUGGGUGAUGGUGAGCCACUGGUGAGAUACCACUCUUUCAGAGCUAGGGUUCUAACGGUCACCCGUUAUCCGGGGACCGGACAGUAUCAGGUGGGCAGUUUGACUGGGGCGGUCGCCCCCUAAAGGUAACGGAGGCGCGCAAAGGUUCCCUCAGGCUGGUUGGAAAUCAGCCGACGAGUGCAAAGGCAGAAGGGAGCUUGACUGUGAGACCAACAAGUCGAACAGGGACGAAAGUCGGCCUUAGUGAUCCGACGGUUCUGAGUGGAAGGGCCGUCGCUCAACGGAUAAAAGUUACUCUAGGAUAACAGGCUGAUCUCCCCCAAGAGUUCACAUCGACGGGGAGGUUUGGCACCUCGAUGUCGGCUCAUCGCAACCUGGGGCUGAAGUCGGUCCCAAGGGUUGGGCUGUUCGCCCAUUAAAGCGGUACGCGAGCUGGGUUCAGAACGUCGUGAGACAGUUCGGUCCAUAUCCGGUGCAUGCGCAGGAACAUUGAGAGGAUUUCUCCCUAGUACGAGAGGACCGGGAGGAACGCACCUCUGGUGUACCAGUUAUCGUGCCAACGGUAAACGCUGGGUAGCCAUGUGCGGAGCGGAUAACCGCUGAAAGCAUCUAAGUGGGAAGCCCACCUCAAGAUGAGUGUUCCCA